CGCCGGCGGCCGCGAGGCCUAGUUGGUGAGGCGGCCUCUGUCCCGGGUGGGGCCGGACCCGGCGGGCCACAAGGAAAAACUUUGUUCAGUUGGAGAUCAGGGCUCCUCCCGUCCUGGCAGCGUUUGCCAGAUCCGCGCCUGAAGAUGGCAGCGUUUGGAUAUGAAAAUAAAAACAUUUCUCGUGGCAGAAGACGUCAAAAACAGUUACUUGACAAACCCGGGAAGAGACUUACCUGUUCAUUUAACUCAUUUGAUUGAACACCUCCCACGUAGACACCAAGGAUGUAUCAGUUAAAAAAAAAAAAAUGACAAAAACCCCAGCCUUCUUGGAGAGUACGUUAUAGUAGGGAGAGACACAGCAAAGUAAAA